UACGUAGGGUGCAAGCGUUGUCCGGAAUUAUUGGGCGUAAAGAGCUCGUAGGCGGUCUGUUGCGUCGCUGUGAAAACCCGAGGCUCAACCUCGGGCCUGCAGCCGAUACGGGCAGACUAGAGGUAUGCAGGGGAGAACGGAAUUCCUGGUGUAGCGGUGAAAUGCGGCAGAUAUCAGGAGGAACACCGGUGGCGAAGGCGGUUCUCUGGGCAUUACCUGACGCUGAGGAGCGAAAGUGUGGGGAGCGAACAGG
rnacentral:rRNA from 1 species